UACGGGGGGGAGCAAGCGUUGUUCGGAUUUACUGGGCGUAAAGGGCGCGUAGGCGGCGCAACAAGUCACUUGUGAAAUCUCCGGGCUUAACCCGGAGCGGUCAAGUGAUACUGUCGUGCUAGAGUGCGGAAGGGGCUACUGGAAUUCUCGGUGUAGCGGUGAAAUGCGUAGAUAUCGAGAGGAACACCUGCGGCGAAGGCGGGUAGCUGGGCCGAUACUGACGCUGAUGCGCGAAAGCCAGGGGAGCGAACGGG
rnacentral:rRNA from 1 species